UGGCCCAUAGUUAAAUGGAAUAACAGGCGACUCAUAAUCGCUCAUCGUAGGAUCGAUACCUACUGGGCCAACCA
rnacentral:tRNA from 1 species